rnacentral:tRNA from 1 species
GCUGACGUAGCCCAAUCGGGAGAGGCACCGCGUUCAGAGCGCGGCGAGUGUGGGUUCGAACCCCACCGUCAGUA